GUAAUCCACAGAACAACAAACCAAGUGUUGUUGUCUGUAACAGUCAGACCUCAGGACUGGAACAGUUUCCCUAAAAUCUUUUACACUCCGUAACUCGAAGACUAGUUAGCGAGUAAUCAACCCCAAAACCCCACCUGCAGUGGAAAAACUACUAUCGAAAAUAAGCAUAAUGUCGCGAUACACCCAUCUUGGAUGUCGGAUUCAGCAGCAAUUAGACGCGCCCGCGCCCCGUCAUCAGAACACCAACAGCCGUGGAACUACAAACCGCUCAUUGAAGGGUUUGCAGCUGUUACAUCCGCAACCUCCGCAACUACCUCCGGUGGAAACUGUCUUUUUUCAUCUAUGCUGCUUGUGGGAAGUAUUUUCACCUCCCGCCGGUAUAAGCAAAUACAUCUCUGCAGGCUGUUAUAAACCUACUUGUUCCCGUGAAAAACUGAAGCCGUUCCUUCCGGCUAGUGUCGACUGUCUAUAAGACUACUAUCGGAACGAUAAUAUUAGCGGUGCUUUCUACCAUCGGGGUGGAACAUCUCCUGCACGACAUAACGGGCGAGUUGUACUUCCUGCAGUGCUAAUCCAAGCGGCAACAGGAUUUGGCGAAUUCACACCAAAGCUGCCCAGACGUGUGGUUAUGACCCACGGGCACCGAGAAACAACGGAAACAGCAAACCAUCGAUCUGAUUCAGGGGCUAGCGAGCACCGCAGGCAUACAGUAGCAACCGAGACACCACAAUCAAGCAGCCUAUUUACUGCGCUGACAGCCCAUCGAAAGCCCCGACACAAACCAUGGAAUGCGGAAUCUG